rnacentral:rRNA from 1 species
CAGGCCUAACACAUGCAAGUCGAACGGUAGCACAGAGAGCUUGCUCUUGGGUGACGAGUGGCGGACGGGUGAGUAAUGUCUGGGAAACUGCCCGAUGGAGGGGGAUAACUACUGGAAACGGUAGCUAAUACCGCAUAACGUCGCAAGACCAAAGUGGGGGACCUUCGGGCCUCACACCAUCGGAUGUGCCCAGAUGGGAUUAGCUAGUAGGUGGGGUAAUGGCUCACCUAGGCGACGAUCCCUAGCUGGUCUGAGAGGAUGACCAGCCACACUGGAAAUGAGACACGGUCCAGACUCCUACGGGAGGCAGCAGUGGGGAAUAUUGCACAAUGGGCGCAAGCCUGAUGCAGCCAUGCCGCGUGUAUGAAGAAGGCCUUCGGGUUGUAAAGUACUUUCAGUGGGGAGGAAGGCGUUAAGGUUAAUAACCUUGGCGAUUGACGUUACCCGCAGAAGAAGCACCGGCUAACUCCGAUGCCAGCAGCCGCGGUAAU